rnacentral:tRNA from 1 species
AGCUUUAUAGUCAAAUUUAUGAUAUUAGACUGCAAUUCUGAAGUUAGGAAAAUUAACUCCUUAAAGCUU